CUGCUCUAGUUAGGCGAUAAAAUUGGAAGACAUAUAUUGUCAUCCCCAAAUAGUCAGUUAAUAUUUGGUUACAUUUUCAAAAGAAAGAAGAAAAAUCAAAAGUACAAAAAAAAUAAAUUCGUGGGGUGAGAGGGAGGAAGCGCUCCUAAUUAAUUGAGGCAAAAUAAAGUUUGUGCUCUUCUCGGGCCCAAAAAAAAUAGCCACAUUUUAGAAGAAAUUGCAGUGAAGUUGCAACAACAAGAUGUGCCAUUUACAGCUGCCGAAAUUAAAACUAAAAUGCCGCAAAGAUUUAGGAAGUAGAAAACUGCAGUCGGUUCAACUGGCGGUUCCCGUUUUUAUAGUUCUACAAACUCCGAACCAAUGCAAAUUUCGAUGGAAACGGUUGCGACACCUUCAUUUGUUGAUGAAUCUCCAUUACCAUAACCGGUUUGCGGAGCUUCGCCCUCAGAGAUCAUGACCGAGCCUUCAUCAUUGCCCAUGUCAUCACCUGAGCCCAGUGAAUCUGUAAAUAUAAAAAGAAAUCAUUCAGAGCUUAAUGUUAAAAAAAUUUGAAAAAAUUAAAAGCAGCUUGAAAACAAAUCAGGAUUUCAACGAAACUAGUCAAAAAGAAAAACAAACAGAAAAAUUAGUUGAAAACGACAAUAAAAAAACACAAAUGAUAGAACAAAAUGUAAAAAACACAAAACAAAUUAACAAAUUAGUGCUUGACUUUCUCACAAA